CGGAUUGGAGUCUGCAACUCGACUCCAUGAAGCUGGAUUCGCUAGUAAUCGCGCAUCAGCCACGGCGCGGUGAAUAACGUUCCCGGGGCCUUGUACACACCGCCCGUCAAGCCAUGGAAGCCGGGGGUGCCUGAAGUGCGUGACCGCAAGGAGCGCCCUAAGGUAAAACCGGUGACUGGGGCUAAGUCGUAACAAGGUACC
rnacentral:rRNA from 1 species